AUUGAACGCUGGCGGCAGGCCUAACACAUGCAAGUCGAACGGUAACAGGAAGCAGCUUGCUGCUUCGCUGACGAGUGGCGGACGGGUGUGUAAUGUCUGGGAAACUGCCUGAUGGCGGGGGAUAACUACUGGAAACGGUAGCUAAUACCGCAUAACGUCGCAAGACCAAAGAGGGGGACCUUAUGGCCUCUUGCCAUCGGAUGUGCCCAGAUGGGAUUAGCUAGUAGGUGGGGUAACGGCUCACCCAGGCGACGAUCCCUAGCUGGUCUGAGAGGAUGACCAGCCACACUGGAACUGAGACACGGUCCAGACUCCUACGGGAGGCAGCAGUGGGGAAUAUUGGACAAUGGGCGCAAGCCUGAUGCAGCCAUGCCGCGUGUAUGAAGAAGGCCUUCGGGUUGUAAAGUACUUUCAGCGGGGAGGAAGGGAGUAAAGUUAAUACCUUUGCUCAUUGACGUUACCCGCAGAAGAAGCACCGGCUAACUCCGUG
rnacentral:rRNA from 1 species